rnacentral:rRNA from 1 species
GACAGAGGCCUCGAGCGUUAGGCGGAAUCACUGGGCUUAAAGCGUGUGUAGGCGGAUCGUUAAGUGCCUUGUGAAAUCCCACGGCUUAACUGUGGAACGGCUGGGCAUACUGGCGGUCUUGAGCCAUCUAGGGGCGACUGGAACAAACGGUGGAGCGGUGAAAUGCGUAGAGAUGUGGAGGAAUACCGAUGGCGAAGGCAGCCCCCUGGGAUAACACUGACGCUCAUGCACGAAAGCGUGGGGAGCAAACAGG